GGGGCAGGAGUGCCGGGGGCUCUUGGAGUGCCGGGGGCCCUUGGUGGAGUAGGUAUCCCAGGUGGUGUGGCAGGAGCUGGACCUGCUGCCGUGGCUGCUGCCACCAAGGCUGCUGCCAAAGCUGCCCAAUAUGGCUUAGGGGGAGUUGGCGGGCUUGGAGCUGGAGGACUGGGGAUUGGAGGGCUUGGGCCU